CCUACGGGUGGCAGCAAGGAAGAAUAUUGGGCAAUGGGGGAAACCCUGACCCAGCAAUGCCGCGUGAAGGAAGAAGGCCUUCGGGUUGUAAACUUCUGUGACAGGGGACGAAAGAAAUGACGGUACCCUGAGAGGAAGCCCCGGCAAACUACGUGCCAGCAGCCGCGGUAAUACGUAGGGGGCGAGCGUUGUCCGGAAUUACUGGGCGUAAAGAGCGCGUAGGCGGCUGAGCAAGUCGCAUGUGAAAGCCCCAGGCUUAACUUGGGGAUUGCAUACGAAACUGCUCAGCUUGAGUGCGGUAGAGGAAAGUGGAAUUCCUAGUGUAGCGGUAAAAUGCGCAGAUAUUAGGAGGAACACCAGUGGCGAAGGCGACUUUCUGGGCCGCAACUGACGCUGAGGCGCGAAAGCGUGGGGAGCAAACA
rnacentral:rRNA from 1 species